rnacentral:tRNA from 1 species
AGAAAUUAGUUAAAUCAUAUAAUAUUAAAAUGUCAUUUUAAAGUUAUUAUAAUUAAUAUUUUUA